rnacentral:misc_RNA from 1 species
ACCGCCAAGAAUUUUAAAACGAUCGUCUUCCCUACUGAACUUGCCACUCCACACAGUCAUCCAAGUCGAGGCUGCUGGAGCAGUCGAGCAGGGCGUUCUGCUGCUGCUCGUACCGGCAGAUGUAAUUCAGGCCAACGAGCAGCUCGCAGAGCACCGCCUCCGUCGUCUCCCGGUCAGCGAAAUACAGGGUCUGCAGCAGCAGCACGUUCCCCUUCAUCACGAUCUGCUGCUGCUCGAAGUUCCUCUCGGCCUGCCAUCGGACCGUGUCGUGCGCCAUCGGAGCCAGCCACGCCAGCGUCUUCUCCAGCGCCUCCCGCCAGUCGUGCGCCAGGAACGCGUCGUAGAUCGCCACGCUCUUCGCGUGCGUCUUCAGGCUCCUCCGCAGCGCCGCCUUCAGGCUCGACGGCAGCAUCU